rnacentral:rRNA from 1 species
AACGAACGCUGGCGGCAGGCUUAACACAUGCAAGUCGAACGCCCCGCAAGGGGAGUGGCAGACGGGUGAGUAACGCGUGGGAAUCUACCCAGUUCUACGGAACAACUGAGGGAAACUUCAGCUAAUACCGUAUACGCCCUACGGGGGAAAGAUUUAUCGGAAUUGGAUGGGCCCGCGUAAGAUUAGCUAGUUGGUGGGGUACAGGCCUACCAAGGCGACGAUCUUUAGCUGGUAUGAGAGGAUGAUCAGCCACACUGGGACAGAGGAACGGGCCAGACUCCUACGGGGGGCAGCCGUGGGGAAUAUUGGACAGUGGGCUGAAGCCUGAUCAAGCCAUGCCGCGGAAGUAAUAAAGAACUUAGGGUUGUAAAGCUCUUUCAGUGGGGACGAUAAUAACGGUACCCACAGAAGAAGCCCCGGCUAACUUCGUGCCAGCAGCCGCCGUAA